UGGUGUGACUGCGUACCUUUUGUAUAAUGGGUCAGCGACUUAUAUUCAGUAGCGAGGUUAACCGUAUAGGGGAGCCGUAGAGAAAUCGAGUCUUAAUAGGGCGUUUAGUUGCUGGGUAUAGACCCGAAACCAGGCGAUCUAUCCAUGAGCAGGUUGAAGGUUGGGUAACACUAACUGGAGGACCGAACCCACUGUCGUUGAAAAGCCAGGGGAUGACUUGUGGAUAGGGGUGAAAGGCUAAUCAAGCCUGGUGAUAGCUGGUUCUCCCCGAAAGCUAUUUAGGUAGCGCCUCGGACGAAUACCAUAGGGGGUAGAGCACUGUUUCGGCUAGGGGGUCAUCCCGACUUACCAAACCGAUGCAAACUCCGAAUACCUAUGAGUACUAUCCGGGAGACAGACUGCGGGUGCUAACGUCCGUAGUCAAGAGGAAAACAAUCCAGACCGCCAGCUAAGGCCCCAAAAUCAUAGUUAAGUGGGAAACGAUGUGGGAAGGCAUAGACAGCUAGGAGGUUGGCUUAGAAGCAGCCACCCUUUAAAGAAAGCGUAAUAGCUCACUAGUCGAGUCGGCCUGCGCGGAAGAUGUAACGGGGCUAAAACUAUGUGCCGAAGCUGCGGAUGUAUACUUUGUAUACGUGGUAGGGGAGCGUUCUGUAAGCCGAUGAAGGUGUGUUGAGAAGCAUGCUGGAGGUAUCAGAAGUGCGAAUGCUGACGUGAGUAACGACAAAACGGGUGAAAAACCCGUUCGCCGAAAGACCAAGGGUUCCAGUCCAACGUUAAUCGGGGCUGGGUGAGUCGACCCCUAAGGCGAGGCCGAAAGGCGUAGUCGAUGGGAAAAUGGUUAAUAUUCCAUUACUUCUGUGUAAUGCGAUGAGAGGACGGAGAAGGCUAAAUCAGCCUGGCGUUGGUUGUCCAGGUGAAAGGAUGUAGGCAUGUAUCUUAGGCAAAUCCGGGGUACUCUAUGCUGAGAUCUGAUAGCAAGCUGUACUUGUACAGCGAAGUGGUUGAUGCCAUGCUUCCAGGAAAAGUCUCUAAGCUUCAGUUACACAGGAAUCGUACCCGAAACCGACACAGGUGGUCAGGUCGAGUAGACCAAGGCGCUUGAGAGAACUCUGCUGAAGGAACUAGGCAAAAUGGUACCGUAACUUCGGGAGAAGGUACGCUGUUGUUGGUGAUGGAACUCGCUUCCUGAGCUGACGACAGCCGCAGAAACCAGGCCGCUGCAACUGUUUAUUAAAAACAUAGCACUCUGCAAACACGAAAGUGGACGUAUAGGGUGUGAUGCCUGCCCGGUGCUGGAAGGUUAAUUGAUGGGGUUAGCGUAAGCGAAGCUCUUGAUCGAAGCCCCAGUAAACGGCGGCCGUAACUAUAACGGUCCUAAGGUAGCGAAAUUCCUUGUCGGGUAAGUUCCGACCUGCACGAAUGGCAUAAUGAUGGCGGCGCUGUCUCCAGCAGAGGCUCAGUGAAAUCGAAAUCGCUGUGAAGAUGCAGUGUACCCGCGGCUAGACGGAAAGACCCCGUGAACCUUUACUGCAGCUUGACACUGAACUUUGACCUUACUUGUGUAGGAUAGGUGGGAGGCUUUGAAGCUGGAACGCUAGUUCCAGUGGAGCCGUCCUUGAAAUACCACCCUGGUAAUGUUGAGGUUCUAACUCUGUCCCGUGAUCCGGGACGAGGACCGUGUCUGGUGGGUAGUUUGACUGGGGCGGUCUCCUCCUAAAGAGUAACGGAGGAGUACGAAGGUGCGCUCAGCGUGGUCGGAAAUCACGCGUAGAGUAUAAAGGCAAAAGCGCGCUUAACUGCGAGACCCACAAGUCGAGCAGGUACGAAAGUAGGUCUUAGUGAUCCGGUGGUUCUGUAUGGAAGGGCCAUCGCUCAACGGAUAAAAGGUACUCUGGGGAUAACAGGCUGAUACCGCCCAAGAGUUCAUAUCGACGGCGGUGUUUGGCACCUCGAUGUCGGCUCAUCUCAUCCUGGGGCUGAAGCAGGUCCCAAGGGUAUGGCUGUUCGCCAUUUAAAGAGGUACGCGAGCUGGGUUUAGAACGUCGUGAGACAGUUCGGUCCCUAUCUACCGUGGGCGCUGGAAAUUUGAGAGGAUCUGCUCCUAGUACGAGAGGACCAGAGUGGACGAACCUCUGGUGUACCGGUUGUGACGCCAGUCGCAUCGCCGGGUAGCUAUGUUCGGAAGGGAUAACCGCUGAAAGCAUCUAAGCGGGAAGCCUACCUCAAGAUAAGAUUUCCCUAGGACUUUAUGUCCUCUAAAGAGCCGUUCGAGACUAGGACGUUGAUAGGUUGGAUGUGGAAGCAUAGUGAUAUGUGAAGCUGACCAAUACUAAUUGCUCGUGAGGCUUGACU
rnacentral:rRNA from 1 species